rnacentral:rRNA from 1 species
UACAGAGGGUGCAAGCGUUAAUCGGAAUUACUGGGCGUAAAGCGUGCGCAGGCGGUUUUGUAAGUCUGUCGUGAAAGCCCCGGGCUCAACCUGGGAAUUGCGAUGGAGACUGCAAGGCUUGAAUCUGGCAGAGGGGGGUAGAAUUCCACGUGUAGCGGUGAAAUGCGUAGAUAUCUGGAGGAAUACCGGUGGCGAAGGCGGCAUCCUGGAGCCGAGAUUGACGCUGAGGAGCGAAAGCUAGGGGAGCAAACGGG